UACGUAGGUGGCGAGCGUUGUCCGGAAUUACUGGGUGUAAAGGGAGCGUAGGCGGGAAUGCAAGUCAAGUGUUAAAUCUAUCGGCUCAACCGGUAACCGCGCUUGAAACUGUAUUUCUUGAGUGAAGUAGAGGCAGACGGAAUUCCUAGUGUAGCGGUGAAAUGCGUAGAUAUUAGGAGGAACACCAGUGGCGAAGGCGGUCUGCUGGGCUUUAACUGACGCUGAGGCUCGAAAGCAUGGGUAGCAAACAGGAUUAGAUACCCGGGUAGU
rnacentral:rRNA from 1 species